UUCUCCAACCACAGAGAGUGCUGGCAUCACAUCAUCACCAAGGAGGGCAUGUGGUCAUCAUUGGAUGUUCCAUCAAAACCCUGGCCAGACCACAUCAUGAAGUCAAUUGGGAAGACCUUUGU